CUGCAAUGAUGGCACUAUUUUUCAUCAACAGGAAUUCACCUCCUGCAUGUUGAUACUUUGGGUCUGAGUGA